rnacentral:tRNA from 1 species
GCAUGUGCCGGUGAUCUCACCAAGCGCCUUCUAAGCGCUUGGCCGCAGGUUCGAGUCCUGCCGGGGGCG